ACUUAAAUUGAAGAGUUUGAUCAUGGCUCAGAUUGAACGCUGGCGGCAGGCCUAACACAUGCAAGUCGAGCGGUAGCACAGAGAGCUUGCUCUCGGGUGACGAGCGGCGGACGGGUGAGUAAUGUCUGGGAAACUGCCUGAUGGAGGGGGAUAACUACUGGAAACGGUAGCUAAUACCGCAUAAUGUCGCAAGACCAAAGUGGGGGACCUUCGGGCCUCAUGCCAUCAGAUGUGCCCAGAUGGGAUUAGCUAGUAGGUGGGGUAACGGCUCACCUAGGCGACG
rnacentral:rRNA from 1 species